UAGAAUUUAGCUACACGAGCCGGUCAGCCAAUUAGGCGCUAGCUGCCACGUUCUGUGCGUCCAAAUAAAACCCUAGUCUAAAAAAUCCCCAAAUACACCCGUGCCCACUCCCACCUGACUCGGAUCUCCUCUCACCGGCGGCGCCUCCAAGUCAGUCGCCGCCAGCAGCGCCACCCAAAAUCCCUCCCCUCCUCUGCCCUCUGGUCCGCCGCGCCACCCUCUCUCUGUUCGAUGCCACGUCCCCAGGCACCACUACACCGACACCAGCCUGCGACAUUUGCUGUCUGGUUCGACCUCCAUGCAACCUCCACCGCCACUUCUUGGAUGGCUCAAGACCAUCGCUCUCUCCAUCUCCGGCGCCUUGCCCAGCUUCGUUUCUCACCUCGUGCCUCACCAUGAUCCGGCCGCUGCCUCACCCUCCCGCCACCAUCAACUACUUGAAGAUCAGCUUCGUCUGACGAACCAACAAGACAGCGGCGGCGGAGAGAUCAGGUUUGGGAGAGGCAACCCGACGAUGCAAAGAGGCCAGGGGAUGAGUUGGAAACUCUUCAAGGAACCCGCGUGUAGCACCAUCAGAUCUGGUCCCCUUCCAACUAUUUGAUGAUCACCUCUCCCUGGUUGCAGUUAAUCUAGAUGAGGAGUAAGAAUGUUUCCCUUUUAUGCUGCAAGAUCAUUCAAUCUCCAGCAUGCUCAAGAACAUCUAAUGUGUGACUACACUCUGUGUCCAGAGUAUUAACAAUGAAACUGUAUUAGGAAUAGCCUUUUAUUAGAAGCUAUAUGCACAAGAAAUUAAUAUUCUAUGAUAAUAGUUAAUAAGUUAAACAUAUGUUGAGGGCUCCUAUCAUGGGCCAUACCAUGUCUUCUUAGUUGCUAGGUACUGUAAAAUCUGUAUAUUAAAAGGUUUAUUCAGAUGCUAAUACUGCUCGGUGAAAGAGAAAGUUAUUAUGUUAAUUCUGUAAUAUUUUUUCUCCAUGCGAUCACUUGUCAGUAUAUUGUUUCUCUUCUGUUUUAUUCCACUAUAAUGCAGGUGCAUUAAAUAUUAAUUGACU